rnacentral:pre_miRNA from 1 species
GAUAUCAACUGAAAAAGUCAUCAAUAACAAAGUUGAAUAACUCAUCAAGAUCUAAAACUUUUAUUUUGGUCAUUUCUUCAUACGACAAAGUGAUAGUAACAUUGUUCACAAAAUUGACAUAUCUCUUAUCUGGUUUUAUAAAACUAUAACACAUAUAUGUAAAAUUUGUGAAUAAUAUUACUAACAUUUCGUCAGAUGAAGAAAUAUCAAAAAUAAAAGUUUUAGAUCUUAAUGAGUUAUUCAACUUUGUUGUUGAUGACUUUUUCAAUUGAAAUC